GGUGGUUCUCGGGUGGUGCACCCUGGAAUUGGGCUCCCUCCUCUCUGGUUCAGGGGUAUGUCAUCUGAGAACCACC
rfam:Myotis davidii contig164653, whole genome shotgun sequence.